rnacentral:SRP_RNA from 1 species
GUCAGGCUGCUGGCCUAGCUGGAGGGCAGUGGGGCGAGGCUAUGCUGCAUGAGCUGGGCGAACUCGCAAAUGCUGGCAACAGAGUUCAAACGCCACUGCUCCAUGAAGUAGCGCUGAUCGCAGCGGACGA